UGGUAUAGCUCAGUCGGUAGAGCAGCUCAUUCGUAAUGAGCAGGUCGCGGGUUCGAGUCCCAUUACCA
rnacentral:tRNA from 2 species